UACGUAGGGGGCAAGCGUUGUCCGGAAUCAUUGGGCGUAAAGCGCGUGUAGGCGGCUCGAUAAGUCUGCUGUGAAAGUCCAGGGCUCAACCCUGGGGAUGCCGGUGGAUACUGUCGAGCUCGAGUCCGGAAGAGGCGAGUGGAAUUCCUGGUGUAGCGGUGAAAUGCGCAGAUAUCAGGAGGAACACCAGUAGGCGAAGGCAG
rnacentral:rRNA from 1 species